GAAAUGCGAUAAGUAAUGUGAAUUGCAGAAUUCAGUGAAUCAUCGAAUCUUUGAACGCACAUUGCGCCCUUUGGUAUUCCGAAGGGCAUGCCUGUUCGAGCGUCAUUAUAACCACUCAAGCCUUCGCUUGGUCUUGGGGUACGCGGUCCCGCGGCCCCUAAAAUCAGUGGCGGUGCCUGUCGGCUCUACGCGUAGUAAUACUCCUCGCGAUUGAGACCGGCGGGCCGCUUGCCAGCAACCCCUAAAUUUUUUUCAGGUUGACCUCGGAUCAGGUAGGGAUACCCGCUGAACUUAA
rnacentral:misc_RNA from 1 species